GUAAUCGCCGGGACACUUUUUCGAUGCUCGCACCGAUUCUACCUUUUCCGGGUACUCGCCCAGAUUCUACAAUUUUUCGGUACUCACACUGAGUCGACCCUUUUUCGGUACUCGUCCGGACAGUUUUUCGAUACUCGCACGGAUUCUACCUUUUCCCGGUACUCGCCUCGAUUCUACCAUUUUUCGGUACUCACACUCAUUCGACCCCAUUCCGUUAUUCGCCGAGACAAUUUUUUCAAUACUCGCACGGAUUCUACCUUUUCCCGAUACUCUCCUGGAUUCUACCAUUUUUCGAUACUCACACUCAUUCGACCCCUUUCCGUUAUUCGCCGAGACAAUUUUUUCGAUACUCGCCUCGAUUCUUCCAUUUUUCAGUACACACACUACUUCGACCAUUUUCUGGUACGCGUCGAGACAAUUUUUCGAUAUUCGCACAGAUUCUACCUUUUCCCAGUACUAGCUCGAAUUAUACCAUUUUUUGGUACUCACAUUGAUUCGAGCCUUUUUUGGUAAUCGCCGGGACACUUUUUCGAUACUCGCACCGACUCUACCUUUUCCGGGUACUCUCCCGGAUUCUACAAUUUUUCGGUACUCACACUGAUUCGACCCUUUUUCGGUACUCGUCCGGACACUUUUUCGAUACUCGCACGGAUUCUACCUUUUCCCGGUACUCGCCUUGAUUCUACUAUUGUUCGGUACUCACACUCAUUCGACCCCUUUCCGGUAUUCGCCGACACAAUUUUUUCGAUACUCGCACGGAUUCUACCUUUUCCNNNNNNNNNNNNNNNNNNNNNNNNNNNNNNNCACAAUUUUUUUCGAUACUCGCACGGAUUCUACCUUUUCCCGAUACUCGCCUCGAUUCUUCCAUUUUUCGAUACUCACACUGAUUCGACCAUUUUCUGGUACUCGUCGGGACAAUUUUUCGAUAUUCGCACGGAUUCUACCUUUUCCCGGUACUCGCUCGGAUUUUACCAUUUUUUGGUACUCACAUUGAUUCGAGCCUUUUUUGGUAAUCGCCGGGACACUUUUUCGAUACUCGCACCGAUUCUACCUUUUCCGGGUACUCGCCCGGAUUCUACAAUUUUUCGGUACUCACACUGAUUCGACUCUUUUUCGGUACUCGUCCGGACACUUUUUCGAUACUCGCACGGAUUCUACCUUUUCCCGGUACUCGCCUCGAUUCUACCAUUUUUCGGUACUCACACUCAUUCGACCCCUUUCCGUUAUUCGCCGAGACAAUUUUUUCUAUACUCGCACGGAUUCUACCUUUUCCCGAUACUCUCCUGGAUUCUACUAUUUUACGGUACUCACACUCAUUCGACCCCUUUCCGUUAUUCGGACACAAUUUUUUCGAUACUCGCACGGAUUCUACCUUUUCCCGAUACUCUCUUAGAUUCUACAAUUAUUCGGUACUCACACUGAUUCGACCCUUUUCUGGUACUCGUCGGGACAAUUUUUCGAUAUUCGCACGGAUUCUACCUUUUCCCGGUACUCGCUCGGAUUUUACCAUUUUUUGGUACUCACAUUGAUUCGAGCCUUUUUUGGUAAUCGCCGGGACACUUUUUCGAUACUCGCACGGAUUCUACCUUUUCCGGGUACUCACCCGGAUUCUACAAUUUUUCGGUACUCACACUGAUUCGACCCUUUUUCGGUACUCGUUCGGACACUUUUUCGAUACUGGCACGGAUUCUACCUUUUCCCGAUACUCGCCUCGAUUCUUCCAUUUUUCGGUACACACACUGAAUCGACCCUUUUCUGGUACUCGUCGAGACAAUUUUUCGAUACUUGCACGAAUUCUAACUGUUCCGAUACUCGUCGAUACACUUUUUCGAUACUCGUCGGGACAAUUUUUCGAUACUCGCACGGAUUCUACCUUUUCCCGAUAUCCGCCCGGAUUCUACCAUUUUUCGGUACUCACAUUGAUUCGAGCCUUUUUUGGUAAUCGCCGGAACAGUUUUUCGAUACUGGCACGGAUUCUACCUUUUCCCUAUACUCUCCUAGAUUCUGCAAUUAUUCGGUACUCACACUGAUUCGACCCUUUUCUGGUACUCGUCGGGACAAUUUUUCGAUAUUCGCACGGAUUCUAGCUAUUCCCGAUACUCGCUCGGAUUUUACCAUUUUUUUGUACUCACAUUGAUUCGAGCCUUUUUUGGUAAUCGCCGGGACACUUUUUCGAUACUCGCACGGAUUCUACCUUUUCCGGGUACUCACCUGGAUUCUACAAUUUUUUGGUACUCACACUAAGUCGACCCUUUUUCGGUACUCGUCGGGACACUUUUUCGAUACUUGCACGGAUUCUACCUUUUCCCGGUACUCGCCUCGAUUCUACCUUUUUUCGGUACUCACACUAAUUCGACCCUUUUUCGGUAAUCGUCGAUACACUUUUUCGAUACUCGCACGAAUUCUACCUUUUCCCGGUACUCGCCUCGAUUCUACCAUUUUUCGGUACUCACACUCAUUUGACCCCUUUCCGUUAUUCGCCAAGACAAUUUUUUCGAUACUCAGACGGAUUCUACCUUUUCCCCAUACUCUCCUGGAUUCUACAAUUAUUCGUACUCACACUGAUUCGACCCUUUUUUGGUACUCGUCGGGACAAUUUUUCGANNAAUUUUUCGGUACUGACAUUGAUUCGACAUUUUUUCAGUACUCGUCCGGACACUUUUUCGAUACUCACACGAAUUCUACCUUUCCCGAUACUCGUCGAUACACUUUUUCCAUACUCGUCGGGACAAUUUUUCGGUAAUCGCCGGGACAACUUCUACCUUUUCCCGAUACUCGCUCGGAUUCUACAAUUAUUCGGUACUCACAAUGAUUCGACCCUUUUCUGGUACUCGUCAAGACAAUUUUUUGAUAUUCGCACGGAUUCUACCUUUUCCCGGUACUCGCCCGGAUUCUACCAUUUUUCGGUACUCACAUUGAUUCGAGCCUUUUUUGGUAAUCGCCGGGAACAUUUUUUGAUACUCGGACAAAUUCUACCUUUUCCUGGUACUCUCCCAGAUUCUACCAUUUUUCGGUACUCACACUAAUUCGACCAUUUUCCGGUAAUCGUCGAGACAGCUUUUCGAUACUCGCACGGAUUCUACCUUUUCCUGGUACUCUCCCGGGUUCUACCAUUCUUCGGUACUCACACUUAUUCGACCCUUUUUCGGUACUCGUCAGGACAAUUUUUCGAUACUCGCACGGAUUCUACCUUUUCCUGUUACUCGCCCGGAAUCUUCCAUUUUUCGAUAUUCACACUAAUUCGACCCUUCUCUGGUAUUCGCCGAGAUAGUUUUUUCGAUACUCGCACGGAUUCUACCUUUUCCCGGUACUCGCCCGGAUUCUACCAUUUUUCGGUACUCACACUAAUUCGACCCUUUUUCGGUAAUCACCGGGACACUUUUUCGAUACUCGCACGGAUUCUACCUUUUCUCGGUACUCUCCCGGAUUCUACCAUUUUUAGGUACUCACACUGAUUCGACCAUUUUCUGGUACUCGUUAGGACAAUUUUUGGAUACUCGCACGAAUUCUACCUUUUCCCGGUACUCGCCCGGAAUCUUCAAUUUUUCGAUAUUUACACUAAUUCGACCCUUCUCCUGUAUUCGCCGAGACAGUUUUUUCGAUACUCGCAUGGGUUCUACCUUUUCCCGAUACUCUCCCGGAUUCUACCAUUAUUCGGUACUCACACUCAUUCGAACCCUUUCCGUUAUUCGCCGGGACAAUUUUUUCGAUACUCGCACGGAUUCUACCUUUUCCCGAUACUCGCCUCGAUUCUACCAUUUUUCGGUACUCAUACUCAUUCGACCCCUUUCCGGUAUUCGCCGAGACAAUUUUUUCGAUACUCGCACAGAUUUUACCUUUUCCCAGUACUCACCCGAAUUCUACAAUUUUUCGGUAGUGACACUAAUUUGACCUUUUUCUGGUAUUAGUCGGGACACUUUUUCGGUACUCGCACUGAUUCGACCAUUUUCUCGUACUCGUCGGGACACUUUUUCGACACUCGCACGGAUUCUACUAUUUCCCGGUACUCGCCCGGAUUCUUCCAUUUUUCGGUACUCACACUGAUUCAACCAUUUUCUCGUACUCGCCGGAACAGUUUUUCGAUACUCGCACGGAUUCUACCUUUUGCCGGUACUCACCCGGAUUCUACCAUUUUUCGGUACUCACACUCAUUCGACCAUUUUCCAGAACUCGUCGGUACAGUUUUUCGAUACUCGCACGGAUUCUAGUAUUUCCCGAUACUCGCCCGGAUUCUUCCUUUUUACGGUACUCACAUUGAUUCAACCCUUUUCUCGUACUCGCCCGGACUGUUUUUCGAUACUCGCACGGAUUCUAUCUUUUCCCGGUACUCACCCGGAUUCUACCAUUUUUCGGUACUCACACUAAUUUGACUUUUUUUCGGUAUUAGUCGGGACACUUUUUCGGUACUCACACUGAUUCGACCAUUUUCUCGUACUCGUCGGGACACUUUUUCGACACUCGCACGGAUUCUACUAUUUCCCGGUACUCGCCCGGAUUCGUCCAUUUUUCGGUACUCACACUGAUUCAACCCUUUUCUCGUACUCGCCCGGAC
rnacentral:lncRNA from 1 species